rnacentral:piRNA from 1 species
GCACCAAGGCCAUGCGGGAGGAGA